rnacentral:rRNA from 1 species
UACGUAGGCAGCAAGCGUUUGUUCGGAAUUACUGGGCGUAAAGAGUGUGUAGGCGGUGUUCUAAGUUUGUCGUGAAAUCUCCCGGCUUAACUGGGAGGGUGCGGCGAAAACUGGAAUGCUAGAGGAUGGGAGAGGUAAGCGGAAUUCCUGGUGUAGCGGUGAAAUGCGUAGAUAUCGGAAGGAACACCAGUGGCGAAAGCGGCUUCCUGGUCCAGCACCGACGUCAGGCACGAAAGCGUGGGGAGCAAACAGG